rnacentral:sRNA from 1 species
UCUAGGAAUGCAGUAGACACAGACCAGAGGGUCCGUGUGGCCCGUUGCUGUGAGGAUGUCUGUGCCCACUUAGUGGACUUGUUUCUCGUGGAGGAAAUCUUCCAGACUGCAAAGGAGACCCUCCAGGAGCUUCAGUGCUUCUGCAAGUAUCUACAGCGGUGGAGGGAAGCUGUCACAGCCCGCAAGAAACUGAGGCGCCAAAUGCGGGCUUUCCCUGCUGCGCCCUGCUGCGUGGACGUGAGCGACCGGCUGAGGGCGCUGGCGCCCAGUGCAGAGUGUCCCAUUGCUGAGGAGAACCUGGCCAGGGGCCUCCUGGACCUGGGCCAUGCAGGGAGAUUGGGCAUCUCCUGCACCAGGUCAGCAUCAGCUGCCGCCUGCCUCGUCAGGGCUCCCCUGCCCCCACUUGGUUUUACCAGGAGCUGAAUUAAUGUGUGUGUUUGGAGGGUGAAGAUAGGUGAAGCCUGGAGGCGAGGACAGGCACAGGGUUGCAUUUUGAAGGUUGUCUCCCACAGCUGUGGACGUGUGACUUGUUCCACUGGGAAAGCAGAGCUCUGAGUUCACCUUGAAAGACUCAGUGUCCUGGUGCCUGAGUUUAACUCUGCAUCACCUGUUCUUUUCCUGCUCGUCCCAGUUUAAGUACUUGCCA